CCUGAUUGAGUCCACCUUAUUGUAAGGUAGUGGAGCCAAGUCCCUGUUUGUUAGGGAGAACCUACUUUGUAGAAGCUGCAUUACAUUGACAGUAAUGGAUUUUACAAAGG